CCUACGGGGUGCAGCAGUGAGGAAUAUUGGUCAAUGGACGAGAGUCUGAACCAGCCAAGUAGCGUGAAGGAUGACUGCUCUAUGGGUUGUAAACUUCUUUUAUAUGAGAAUAAAAUGUUCCACGUGUGGGAUUUUGUAUGUACCAUAUGAAUAAGGAUCGGCUAACUCCGUGCCAGCAGCCGCGGUAAUACGGAGGAUACGAGCGUUAUCCGGAUUUAUUGGGUUUAAAGGGAGCGUAGGUGGAUUGUUAAGUCAGUUGUGAAAGUUUGCGGCUCAACCGUAAAAUUGCAGUUGAAACUGGCAGUCUAGAGUACAGUAGAGGUGGGCGGAAUGCGUGGUGUAGCGGUGAAAUGCUUAGAUAUCACGAAGAACUCCGAUUGCGAAGGCAGUUCACUGGACUGCAACUGACACUGAGGCUCGAAAGUGUGGGUAUCAAACAGGAUUAGAUACCCUGGUAGUC
rnacentral:rRNA from 1 species